ACGCUGGCGGCAGGCCUAACACAUGCAAGUCGAGCGGUAGAGAGAAGCUUGCUUCUCUUGAGAGCGGCGGACGGGUGAGUAAUGCCUAGGAAUCUGCCUGGUAGUGGGGGAUAACGUCCGGAAACGGACGCUAAUACCGCAUACGUCCUACGGGAGAAAGCAGGGGACCUUCGGGCCUUGCGCUAUCAGAUGAGCCUAGGUCGGAUUAGCUAGUUGGUGGGGUAAUGGCUCACCAAGGCGACGAUCCGUAACUGGUCUGAGAGGAUGAUCAGUCACACUGGAACUGAGACACGGUCCAGACUCCUACGGGAGGCAGCAGUGGGGAAUAUUGGACAAUGGGCGAAAGCCUGAUCCAGCCAUGCCGCGUGUGUGAAGAAGGUCUUCGGAUUGUAAAGCACUUUAAGUUGGGAGGAAGGGCAGUAAAUUAAUACUUUGCUGUUUUGACGUUACCGACAGAAUAAGCACCGGCUAACUCUGUGCCAGCAGCCGCGGUAAUACAGAGGGUGCAAGCGUUAAUCGGAAUUACUGGGCGUAAAGCGCGCGUAGGUGGUUCGUUAAGUUGGAUGUGAAAUCCCCGGGCUCAACCUGGGAACUGCAUUCAAAACUGACGAGCUAGAGUAUGGUAGAGGGUGGUGGAAUUUCCUGUGUAGCGGUGAAAUGCGUA
rnacentral:rRNA from 1 species